rnacentral:rRNA from 1 species
ACGGAAGGCAGCAGUGGGGAAUAUUGGGCAAUGGGGGAAACCCUGACCCAGCAACGCCGCGUGAGGGAAGAAGGUUUUCGGAUCGUAAACCUCUGUCCUUGAUGAAGAGAAAGAGACGGUAAUCAGGGAGGAAGCCCCGGCUAACUACGUGCCAGCAGCCGCGGUAAUACGUAGGGGGCAAGCGUUAUCCGGAAUUAUUGGGCGUAAAGAGUGCGUAGGUGGUUACCUAAGCGCAAGGUUUAAUCUUGAGGCUUAACCUCAUUCUGCCUUGCGAACUGGGCUACUUGAGUGCAGGAGGGGAAAGCGGAAUUCCUAGUGUAGCGGUGAAAUGCGUAGAUAUUAGGAAGAACACCGGAGGCGAAGGCGGCUUUCUGGACUGUAACUGACACUGAGGCACGAAAGCGUGGGGAGCAAACAGGAUUAGAUACCCUGGUA